rnacentral:rRNA from 1 species
UACGUAGGGUGCAAGCGUUUGUCCGGAAUUAUUGGGCGUAAAGAGCUCGUAGGCGGUCUGUCGCGUCGGCUGUGAAAACCCGGGGCUCAACCCCGGGCCUGCAGUCGAUACGGGCAGACUAGAGUGCGGUAGGGGAGACUGGAAUUCCUGGUGUAGCGGUGAAAUGCGCAGAUAUCAGGAAGAACACCCGUGGCGAAGGCGGCUCUCUGGGACGGUACUGACGCUGAGACGCGAAAGCGUGGGGGAGCGAACAGG